CGUGAGCAACCUGCCCUUGACUCUGGAAUAACAGCUGGAAACAGCUGCUAAUACCGGAUAUGACCUCAAACGACAUCAUCUGAGGUGGAAAGCUCCGGCGGUCAAGGAUGGGCUCGCGGCCUAUCAGCUAGUUGGUGAGGUAACGGCUCACCAAGGCUUCGACGGGUAGCCGGCCUGAGAGGGCGACCGGCCACACUGGGACUGAGAUACGGCCCAG
rnacentral:rRNA from 1 species